rnacentral:rRNA from 1 species
GUCUACGGCCAUGCCACCCUGAACAAGCCCGAUCCCGUCUGAUUUCGGGAGCUAAGCAGGGUCGGGCCUGGUUAGUACUUGGAUGGGAGACCGCCUAGGAAGACCAGGUGCUGUAGGCG